rnacentral:rRNA from 1 species
AUUGAGCGCUGGCGGCAUGCCUUACACAUGCAAGUCGAACGGUAACGGGUCUUCGGAUGCUGACGAGUGGCGAACGGGUGAGUAAUACAUCGGAACGUGCCUAGUAGUGGGGGAUAACUACUCGAAAGAGUGGCUAAUACCGCAUGAGAUCUACGGAUGAAAGCAGGGGAUCGCAAGACCUUGUGCUACUAGAGCGGCCGAUGGCAGAUUAGGUAGUUGGUGGGAUAAAAGCUUACCAAGCCGACGAUCUGUAGCUGGUCUGAGAGGACGAUCAGCCACACUGGGACUGAGACACGGCCCAGACUCCUACGGGAGGCAGCAGUGGGGGAUUUUGGACAAUGGGCGAAAGCCUGAUCCAGCAAUGCCGCGUGCAGGAUGAAGGCCUUCGGGUUGUAAACUGCUUUUGUACGGAACGAAAAGCCCUGGGUUAAUACCCUGGGGUCAUGACGGUACCGUAAGCAUAAGCACCGGCUAACUACGUGCCAGCAGCCGCCGCGGUAA